ensembl:misc_RNA Metazoa_SRP Metazoan signal recognition particle RNA
GCUGGGCAUGGUGGCACAUGCCUGUAAUCCCACCUACUUGGGAGGCUGAGGCAGGAGACUUGCUUGAGCCCAGGAGGCAGGGGUUACAGUGAGCUGAGAUCACGCCACUGCACUCCAGCCUGGGUGACAGAAUGAGACUCUGUCUCAU